rnacentral:rRNA from 1 species
GACGAACGCUGGCGGCGUGCUUAACACAUGCAAGUCGAACGGAAAGGCCCUGCUUUUGUGGGGUGCUCGAGUGGCGAACGGGUGAGUAACACGUGAGUAACCUGCCCUUGACUUUGGGAUAACUUCAGGAAACUGGGGCUAAUACCGGAUAGGAGCUCCUGCUGCGUGGUGGGGGUUGGAAAGUUUCGGCGGGUGGGGAUGGACUCGCGGCUUAUCAGCUUGUUGGUGGGGUAGGGGCUUACCCAGGCUUUGACGGGUAGCCGGCCUGAGAGGGUGACCGGCCACAUGGGGACUGAGAGACGGCGCAGACUGCUACGGGAGGCAGUAGUGGGGAAUAUUGCACAAUGGGCGGAAGCCUGAUGCAGCAACGCCGCGUGCGGGAUGACGGCCUUCGGGUUGUAAACCGCUUUCGCCUGUGACGAAGCGUGAGUGACGGUAAUGGGUAAAGAAGCACCGGCUAACUACGUG